rnacentral:rRNA from 1 species
UACGUAGGGAGCAAGCGUUGUCCGGAAUCAUUGGGCGUAAAGCGCGCGUAGGCGGCCCUGUAAGUCCGCUGUGAAAGUCAAAGGCUCAACCUUUGAAAGCCGGUGGAUACUGCAGGGCUAGAGUCCGGAAGAGGCGAGUGGAAUUCCUGGUGUAGCGGUGGGAUGCGCAGAUAUCAGGAGGAACACCAAUAGCGAAGGCAGCUCGCUGGGACGGUACUGACGCUAAGGCGCGAAAGCGUGGGGAGCGAACAGG